UACGUAGGGGGCUAGCGUUGUCCGGAUUUAUUGGGCGUAAAGAGCGUGUAGGCGGCCAGGUAGGUCUGGUGUGAAAACUCGAGGCUUAACCUCGAGAUGUCAUCGGAAACCAUCUGGCUAGAGUCCGGAAGAGGAGAGUGGAAUUCCUGGUGUAGCGGUGAAAUGCGCAGAUAUCGGGAAGAACACCAAUGGCGAAAGCAGCUCUCUGGGACGGUACUGACGCUGAGACGCGAAAGCGUGGGGAGCGAACAGG
rnacentral:rRNA from 1 species